AUGCUUUUUUCUUCCCCCUUCAGCUCCCUCGCCUGUAGGCAGAAGAUUUGCCUGCUGACAGACACACUGGAGGCUUGCACAGAGCCGGGCUCCCUGCGCUGGGAGAGCGCAGCUGUGCCUGGCUGCUUUGUUAGCAGCCGUUUGCCCCGGGGCGGGGAAGAGCUUCCCGAUUUUUCUUUUCGGUUGUCUUGGACCGGGGAACGAAAUCAUCAUCGGUGUGGCGCUGGCGGUGGUGAGCACGGGGCUGCGGGGGCUCCUGGGGCCGUCCUUCCUGCACACAACGCCGGCGGUCGCGGUGCCCAGCGGGUCCCCGGCACGGCUCGAGCCCCUGGUGCCGAUCCUUUUCCUCCUUCUCCCCUUGGGCACUGCGGCGAGGCAGGGGCUGUCCUGAGGAGACGUGUUCCUGCGGCUUGGUUGCUCCUGCUCCCACCAGACAUCCCCGCCUGCCACCGAAAUGCCCCCGUUCUCCUUUUGCCAAAAAGAAGCCGUAAGACCAAGCUGAGCCUAAAGGUCGCUGGACAGAAAGCUGCAGAGACCGCUCCUGGGGAAGUCCCGGACGCUGCCCAGCAUCCCGCAGUCCCCGGUCCUGAGCAGGCUUCCCCUCCUUGACUCCACGGCAUAUAGGGAGGAGAUGCCGGAGCAGAAGUCCUACAAGAAGCACUCGGCCUCUGAUGGCCAGAAGGGCUGCACGGUCCCAUCUGCCGGUGAGUGCCAGGGAGAGCUUUGUGCCCGUUCUGCCUGGGGGCCAGCAAAAUCUUACCCAACGUGUCCUUGUUCUGCAGGGGUGCGAACAGCAAGGUAAAUCCAAUCCCUGUCUGUAGGGGGUUUAUGCUGCCUCAAAAACAAAUGUUCUUGGUGAGAUUUAUUUUUUUUUUUUAUCCACUUCUGAGGCUUUCUUUGAGCCUGUUAUUUAAACCUUCCCACCUUUUAUUACACCGAUGAAAAAGCCGCAUGGGGCUGCAAGAGCCCUUGGCUCGGAGGUGAUGCUCGGAGCAUCAGAGCUGGGUCUCCUGGCCACAUGUGAACUGCUGCUCCGGGUUCCUCCGGCCUCCCCAACAGACCCAGGUGCCUUCCUUCUGCAGCAUCAAGUGGCUUCAGGGUGCCCGUUGCUGUCCCCAUGGGGAGCAGAGGCUGGGUGGCACCGCGUGGCUGUGCCGUUGUCCUGGCCCGCAGUGGGGGUUUGCUGUGGCAGAUGCUCCCAGCCUGGGAGCGUGUGUUGGCCUUCGUGUCAACAGAGGAUUUUUUACUGUGUUCUGCUCUUGUGCUGAUCCUGAUGAAAUACUAAUAUGGUUGGACCAGCUGCUCUGAGCAAGUUUAUUGGCAAAACUGUUGAUGGGCAAAGUGUUUCACGCUUCUGGUGCCAGCAGAAUCACGCUGGGGCCAUAAGAACGAUGGGGAAAGCGAUUAGCACUGAAACAGAGAUAAGGCUCGCCAGCCAGGGCUGACAAUCCAGUGCAAAAUAAAACCCUUAUAAAAUAGCUCCCGUCUACCA
rnacentral:lncRNA from 1 species